rnacentral:lncRNA from 1 species
GCCUCUAUAUUUAUAGGCAAGAUUAUUACAUAUUUAUGCUAAUACUAGGAAAUUGACAUUAGGAAACUAAUAAGAUCUAGUCUAUUUAAAAAUCCUAUUCUAAUCAAUAAAGAAACUAUAUUCCUAAUUAAAUAGAGGAUAAAAAUCCUAUCACAACUAUACUUAGAAAAGAUACACACAACGAGAAAAAGUUAUAAAUAAAAACAAGUUUCCUAGUGGGAAAUAACAUUCUUUCCUUUCCUAAUAGAUUUUGGACUUUCUUUUGAUAUUGUCCUGCAUUAGUUUUAUAUAGCCAAAAUAGGUAUCAUAUCACCGAAAUAGAUAAAUGCAUCCAUGGUAAGAGAAUACUCAUUGGAAAAUAGAGAUUGACUUCAAUAACUGAUUAUAACUUCCCAAGGAUGAUGUUUUGGGAUGCCCGUACUGAACCUCCAUCUUCGAUGAUUAUAGAAGUAACGGACCUACAUUUUCAUUUUUGUCACAAAUUAUGGAUAUCAUUUGACUGCUAUGCAUGAGUAGUCCUCUCAAGUGAAUUUGAGAUAUUAUUUUGUUCUCAGGUGUUGUUGGUUUUGUCAAAUUUAUUCAAUAAGACUCAAUACCUCUAUAUGAGAGCUUCUCUCAUUGUAUAAGAAAUGUGAUCCAUUUAGGGUACAUUUUUAUAUGGAUAAAAAUAAUUAUUGUUCUGUAGACAGGUAGCCAUUCCAUGUAUGUGGGAAUCAAGCAUCGUAAGAAUGGGUUGGAUGAGCUAAACGCCCCAUAACAAGGACAGUGAACCCUCCUAUCAGCCUCAAAGAAAGAUGAAUAAGCAAACAAGAAAACAAAAGCAAGAACACCAUUAUGACAUAGGCAAUAGUUAACGGGACAUAAUGACCUUAUAAGGUCAGAAUGACUAUGGCAGCAACAAUUUGGAGCAAAUAAUACAAGCUUUCUUUAAUAAACACAUCAAAGCUUUGCUCAAUAUUUUCACUAACAAAAAAAUCAUUUUUUAAAGAAAAAAUGUAAUAUGAAACUUAUUAAAAAUACAUGGUAUUCGUUCACAUCCUUUUUCCGAGAGAGGGAGAGAGAUAAGAGGCACGUUUUUGUUGGUUUGGGAGGUGAAACCAUAAGAAAGCCGUACAAUUUUAUUUCUUCUGCAAUGCCUUCUCAGAGCCAAUUUUGUCAAAUGUGUGAAGAUUCAUAAUACUGCAACUCAAGUAGCUAUGGACAAAGCUUAGUGUACUUGUGACUAACAAAGAUAUUACAAGUAAAUUACAUGUUAGCAAAAUGUAGGAAUCAAACACCGAACAAAAUUACUUAUUAGCGAAGAGGAGACGAAAAUUCAGUAUGCAUGUGUGGAGUAUUGGGUCAAUCUGAUUAUAUAUGAGAGAAUAAAGCUACUUUAAUAUUCAUUUUGCACAUCUUUGUUGACCUUCCAUGAUAUGUAAAAAAAUUUAGAUAUUGAUUUGAGCAAGUAUUAUUCAAAAUACGAAAACUGUUGACCUAAUGGUUGACUUCUUGUUUUGAUUAUUACAAAUAAAUUGUGUUUGAUUCUAACAAAUUGAAUUUAAGUGAUUGAUAGUGAUUAUUGUAAAUUUAUGACACGAAAGAUUUAGAUUGGGAAUCAUGCAACCUUGGCGCAAAACGAUAUACACACAAGAUUUACGAACAAGGAAAUGGAAAAUGAGCUUUCAAGCACCAAAUUGCAUUGGAUGAAGAAAUUGAAGACAUUAGUUCUAGAUGCAUUUGUAUACUCAAGUGUAAAGGUAAAACUCUUUAACAUUUCACAUCGAUUAUAGCUCAAACAAUUUUUAUGCACGGAAAUUAUCAUAACAAACUUUACUUGCAUAAAAAUCAUUUUCAAAAGAUAAGUAAUUUGAUUUUCACAAUUAAACAUUUAUGAAAUUACUUAUCUAUAUGAAAUAUAUAAGGAAACCGUUCAAAUACCUUAAAGGAAUUUUUCACGAAAAAGGAAAAUUUGAUGGGAAAAUAAAAGGCUCACCCGGACGUCCGGAUGAGAUGUCCAACGGUCACAUUUUUUAACCGUUUGGCAAACACCUAGUUAAUCGUCCGGAUAACAAGCGAACGUCCGAAUCGCUUGUCCGGAUCUCCUGAUUGAUGGCUAUAAAUACCUCUCUUUAUACCUCUUUUAAGGCGAGUUUUUUACAACAUUAAAGAAAGUUAUUUAUUGAUCUUGUCUACCUUGUUUUUCAAUCUUUAAGAGAUCAAAUUAUUUAUUUGUUGAAAAACUUUUUGAGUGGGUAACUUUUUGAAAAAUCAUAUAUCUCAAUAAAAGUUUUUUCCACAACACUUGAGCUAUAUUCUUUAUGAUUUAUUGAAGUGAUUGUGCCUAAUUCUCUCUCAAUAUUUAGUUGUGUUCAUACCAUUUGUUAAGAGAGAAACAUUUCAAUUCUAACUUUGAUUUUCUUGUGGGUCGAGUUAAGGUCCCAGAAAGCUCAACGUAUAAAAGGAUCGGUGCUCCUUAAUUACAAGUCAUCGGAAGCAUUGUAAGGGUUGGAUUGCACCAUAAGUCAAUCAAAGAUAGUGAAAAAGGUCUUGCUCGUGACGGAGAGUUUGGUAACGGGGGACGUAGAUCGUGAUUGGAUCGAACCUCCUUAUUACAUCGUUUGCAGUCCCCUUUCCCUUCCUCUUAUUAUUUUUGUGUUGUCUUGUUUAUUCAUAAUUAUUUGCUUAAAUUUGCGUUUAUUUUAGAAAAAGUUUCAAAUAACCAAUUCACCCCCCCUCUCUUGGUUAGUUAUUAUUGGGCUUUCAAUUGACAGAGCUUGAUACUCUCUUUUUUUUUUUUAUUCUACAAUUUAAGUUAUGGUUAACCAAGUUUUUCAAAAUAGUGAGGGGCACUCUACAAAACGGCCUCCUUUCUUUAAUGGUACACAUUAUAAUUAUUGGAAAGCUAGGAUGAUGAUUUAUGUUCAAUCUAUGGAUUACAAUAUUUGGGAAGUUAUAGAAUAUGGUCCAUAUGCUCCUAAUAAAACUAUUAAAGUAGAUGGUAGACCGGACCAAACUCUCCCCAAAUCUAGAGAAGAAUACGAUGAUGAAGAUAAGAGAAAACUAUCAUUACAUGCCAAGGCUAAAAAUCUACUUUAUUGUGCACUUGAUAGAAAUGAAUUUAAUCGAAUUAGUACAUGUGAUUCGGCAUAUGAUAUUUGGCAUGCUCUUGAAGUUACUCAUGUUGGCACAAAUAAAGUUAAGGAAACAAAGAUAAACAUGCUAGCUAAGGAAUUUGAAAAUUUCUUUAUGAAACAAAAUGAGCUUAUUGUUAACAUGAUUACUCGUUUUACCAAUAUUGUAAAUGUAUUAAAGGUUUUGAUCGUAAAUUUACGAACGGUGAACUUGUGAGUAAAAUGCUUAGGUCCUUAUAAGAGAAAUGGAAUCCACUGAGGAUGUUGAUUGAGAAUACUAAGGAUGUAAAUACAUAUCCUUUGGAGGAGCUAUACGGCACAUUAAUGACUUAUGAGCUAAACAAUGUCGAGGUUAAGGAGAAAACGAGAAAAAGCAAGGAGGAGUCAAAGGAGCCUCCUAAAAGACAAAUUGCGUUAAAAUCGACAAUUGAAGAAGGAACAUCAAAUGAAAAUAUGAACGAUGAAGAACUUGAUGAUUUGGUUCUUCUUGUCCAAAAAUGGAGAGAUUUUCGUAAUAAUCGAAGAUUUCAAAAGAAAGAAGAAAAAGUGGAAGAUAGGAACAAAAAGAUUGUUUGCUAUGAUUGUGAUAAGUCUGGUUACAAGAGAACUAAGUGUCCAAACAAAAAGAAAAAUCUCAAGAAAAAAGCACUCCAAGCUACAUGGGGUGAUAGCGACGACGAAAUACAAAAUGGGAAUGAUAAUCAAGAUGAAGUGGCAAAUAUGUGCUUCAUGGCAAUCGAAGACGAGGUAUGUUCUUAUGAUGAGCUUUCAAUUUCUUAUGAUGAAAUGCUUGAAAAUUUUGAAAAACUUGCUUUAAAUCACGCUGUUCUUAAAAAGAAAAACUUUAUUUUGAAUGAAGAAAUUAAGAAAAUCUCCGAAAAGCAAAAAGUGAGUUUUGAUCAGACCUUUUGAUAAAAGAAAACAUCUUUUUAAAAGAAAAGGUUAAUGAUUUAAUACAAAUUAUCCAUAAGUUUACCAAAAGUAAGAAAAAUUUUGAUUUAAUGCUCGGUAGUCAAAAGUGUGUUUUUGGUAAAGGAGGAAUUAGAUAUAAACCCUCUCUAAAACAAAAAUCACUCAAAAAUAUGUUUGUUAAGACUUCAAAUAUUUCAUGUAGCUUUUGUAAUAAAAAUGGACAUAUUGCUUUUAAUUGUGUAACUAAAAAGAAAUUAUUCUUUGAGAACAAAUACAAGUGGAUACAAGAAUCCACAAAACUAACUAUCAACGACCCAAAUUUGUGUGGGUACUAAUAUUCAAAACUUAAUUUGUCUUUGUAGGUACCAAAGAAAAUGAAAAGUAAAUGGUUCUUGGAUAGUGAAUGCUCGAAGCAUAUGACCGGUGAACGAUCAUUAUUUUCAAAUUUUUAAGAGAAUGAUGGAGGUCAUGUGACCUUUGGAGAUAAUGCCAAAGGUAAAAUAAUCGGCAUUGGAAACAUUGGUAACCACUCAUCCCCCUCUAUCGAAAAUGUUUUACUCGUUGAUAAUCUUAAACAUAAUUUGUUAAGCAUUAGUCAAUUAUGUGACAAAGGUUAUAACAUAAAAUUCGAUUCUUCCAAAUACCUUAUGAAGGAUGCUACAUCAAAAGAUGUAAUUUUUAUAGGAAGCCGAAGUAAAGAUGUUUAUAUUAUAAACAUUGAAUUGGAAAAUAACGAAAAAUAUUUAUUUAGCUUGAAAGAAGAAUCAUGGUUAUGGCAUAGAAGACUUGGACAUGUAAACAUGGAUCUUCUUUCAAAAAUUUAUAAAAAUUGUUUUGUAAAAGGUUUACCGAAUUUGAAAUUUGAAAAAGAUAAAAUUUGUGAUACUUGUCAAUUUGGAAAACAAGUAAAAAGCUCUUUCAAACCAAAACUUUAUACUUCAACCACAAAACCAUUACAACUUCUCCAUAUGGAUCUUUUUGGCCCGUCUAGGACGGCUAGCUUAGGAGGUAAACAUUAUACUUUUAUUAUUGUGGACGAUUUUUCAAGAUUUACUUGGGUUAUAUUUUUAAACUUAAAAGGAGAAGCCUUGAAAACUUUUAAACAUUUUUGUAAGAAAGUUGAAAAUGGAAAAGACUACUCUAUUACAACUAUUAGAAGUGACCAUGAUGAAGAAUUUGAUAAUGUUGGGUUUGAUGAUUUUUGUAAAGAACAUGGAUAUGAACGGCUCAUAGAACACUUCAACAAAAUGGUGUAGUAGAAAGGAAGAAUCGUACAUUACAAGAAAUGGCUCAAACUAUGUUAAAUGAAAAUAACUUGCCUAAAUAUUUUUGAGCCGAAGCUGUUAAUACCGCUUGAUACAUUAUCAAUAGAGUAUUAAUAAGCAAAAGGAAAACUAAAACUCUUUACGAACUUUAGAAAAACAAAAUUCCAAAUAUUAGUUAUUUCAACGUUUUUGGAUGUAAAUAUUUUAUUUUAAAUACAAAAGAUAAUUUGGGGAAAUUCGACUCCAAAUCCGAUAUAGAAAUUUUCUUUGGAUAUUCAUCGACUAGCAAAGCAUAUAGAGUUUUUAACAAACGAACUCUAGUUGUUGAAGAAUCCAUGCAUGUUGCCUUUGAUGAAACUAACUCAUUUGAUCGGGAGAAAGGUAGUGAUGACGAUGUAGGUUUGGAAGCUCCUUUCGAACAAAUGAACAUUCAAGACCAAAAUAAGGAGACUCCAAAUGAUCCAAUGCUCAAGAAAAUAAAGCAAGACAACCCGGAGAACAAAAUGAUCCCUCAUUACCAAAAGAAUGGAGGUUUGUUCCAGCUCAUCCCAAAGAGCUAAUAAUUGGCGAUCCAUCAAAAGAUAUCACCACUAGAACCUCUUACAAAAAUCAUUUUGGUAGUUGUGCAUUUAUUUCUCAAAUCGAAUCUAAGAAUUUCAAAGAAGAUGAGUUUGAUGAGUUAUGGAUUCUAGUAAUGCAAGAAGAAUUAAAUCAAUUUAAAAGAAACCAUGUUUGGGACUUAGUCGCUAGACCAAACAAUCAAACCGUUAUUGGAACAAAAUUGAUUUUUAUAAAUAAAAGAGAUGAAAAUGGAAUAAUUGUGCAUAAGAAGGCUAGAUUAGUGGCCCAAUGUUACAAUCAAGAAGAAGGUAUCGAUUUUGAAGAAAUAUUUACACCAGUAGCAAGAUUAGAAUCCAUCUGUAUGCUUCUUGCAUUUGCAUUAUUACAAAGAUUUUAGACUUUAUCAAAUGGAUGUUAAAAGUGCUUUUUUAAAUGGCUUCAUUCAAGAAGAUGUUUUCGUUGAGCAGCCUCCUGGUUUUAAAGAUCACAAGUAUCCGGAUCAUGUAUUUAAAUUUCAAAAAGCUCUUUACGGGUUGAAACAAGCUCCUAGAGUUUAGUACGAACGGUUGAACAAAUUUCUUCUCUCAAAUGAUUUUUCGAUUGGAAAAGCGGAUACUACACUUUUUAUAAAAACUCAUAAAAAUGAUAUGCUCAUUGUUCAAAUUUAUAUUGACGAUAUUAUUUUUUGUGCUACAAAUAUACAUCUUUGUGAAGAAUUUUUCAAAAUGUAUGAGUAAUGAAUUUGAAAUGAGCAUGAUGGGUGAGUUAAAAAAAUUUCUUGGCCUUCAAAUUAAACAAAUGAAAGAAUGAAUUUUCAUAAAUCAAAAUAAAUACAUAUUAGACAUACUUAAAAAAUUUGACAUGCAUGACAACAAGCCUAUGAACACACCAAUGAGCACAUCUCUAAAACUUGAUAAGGAUGAGCGAAGUACUUCUAUGGACGUCACAAAAUAUUGAGGUAUGAUCGGAUCCCUUCUAUAUUUAACUGCCAGUAGACCCGAUAUUAUGUUUAGUGUUUGCCUAUGUGCUCGCUUUCAAUCUAAUCCUAAGAAUCAUGCUUAAAGGCCGUAAAACGAAUUUUUCGUUAUCUAAGUGGUAUGAGUACUUUAGGACUUUAAUAUCCAAAAGGCACUCAUAUUGACUUAAUUAAUUAUUCGGAUGCCGAUUGGGACAGAUUUAAUGUUGAUCGUAAAAGCACAAGUGGAAACUGUCACUUUCUAGGCUUUGCACUUGUAUCUUGGUCUAGUAAGAAACAAAAUUCCAUUGCACUAUCCACCGCCGAGGCUGAAUAUAUCUCGGCCGCUAGUUGUUGUGCAAAAACACGUUGGAUGAAACAAACUCUAUGUGAUUAUCAUUUGUCUUACGUUCAUUUGCAUAUUCUAUGUGAUAAUACCAGUGCCAUAAAUUUGUCUAAAAAUCUCGUCUUGCAUUCACGAACUAAGCAUAUUGAGAUUCGACAUCAUUUUCUUCGUGAUCAUGUACAAAAAGGAGAUAUUAUAUUAGAAUUUAUAAAAAUCAAUUAUCAGUUGACCGAUAUCUUUACCAAACCUCUAGCAUAUGAACGUUUUUCAAUUAUUCGAAGAGGAUUGGGGAUUAUUGAUGAAAAUGAAGUAAACUUAGUUUAAGUUUCUUUCACUUAAGUUUUUUUUAAUUAUUUAUUAAUUUAAAAAAUUCAUCUGAACAAGCAAAAGUUGUCCAGACUAUACUGUCCGGAUUGGCAGAAACUGAAGGUUGCUGUCAUCCGGACCGUCGGUACAGUUUUUUUUAAAACACGGAUUCAUCCCUUUUUCAUCCAUUUCUUCAUCUUCCUCGCCCAAAAUAUCUAUGCAAAUUCACACACAAGCAGUUUCUUUGGUUGAAUCUUGUUCAUUUCACCUAUUAAUCGAAAAACCCGACCGAUUUACACCAUUUUUCACCCAAAAAUCGAAAAUAUAUCUUCCAAAAUCGGGUUUGAAUCUCAGCUCGAUUUCUUCUUCAAUCUUAGAAAUUUUCGUGCAAAUCCCACAUAAUAGCUCAAGCAUUUCAUACAGCAUUACUUUCCUCCUCUAAUAGCUUGAUUUUUCAGCAAAAUCAUCACUUUUGAGCGUGCCCUAGAAAUCACCCAAUUGGGAUUUUGUGAUUUUUUUAAAUUGUGGAAAUCUCACCCAUUUUUCUACUAUGUCGGGUUCUAGUCGUGGAAAACGGGGAAGAAAAAUUGUGCAAUGACCCCCUUCACCAUCGGAUGAGGAGAUGGAUUUGGAGCCGGAGGAGCCAUCCAACCCUUUUGAAAAAUCACUCAUUUUAAUCGGUAAGAAUGUUGAUUUUAUGGAUUUUACAAUUGAAGCUCCCGCUUUUCAUAUUGAAGAAUAUUUUGAACGUAUGGGAUGGAUAACCGUGCCCACGAUGGAAGAACGCGCUUAUCCACACCUUAUGAAAGAAUUUUAUCAAAACAUAAAUUUUAUGACACGUUCAAACGAAAUCCCUUGCUUUGUUAAAAACGUUCGCUUUACAAUUUCAAAAGCGUUAAUUCGUCAACUACUUAAUCUCGAGCCUUGUAACUUAGAAGUGUUUUUACAUAAGUCUCCACCAACCAUAGAAGGAUACGAUCCUUCUGAGGCAUGUCGUCGUGUUACGGGGAAAGACUUAGAAAAACAUCACAAAAAUUAGUGCACAUCAAUUAACACUUCCAUGCAAGGUGUUGCAAAAUAUCAUUGCUCACAUUAUUUUUCCCCGCAAAGGUCAUCGAGAUGAAGUCGAUCACUUCGAUCUCUUUAUUUUGGAUUCUCUACUAGUCAGACGUAAAAUUGAUUUUCCUACUAUUGCACUUGGCCUUAUGAAGCUUGUGCAUGCAUCACGACACACCAAAGCUUUACAUUCGGGAUGUUUCUCACAAAAUUUUUUAAGCAUUUUAAUGUUUCAUUGGACGGUGAAGAUUUUAUAAAAUUACGCCCUACCGAUACUAUUAACAUUCAGACCUUAAAACGGAUGAAAAUGGUAAAGGAACAUGGGCAAUGGGUGGCUCAUACGAAAGGGUGCAAUCCUACCUUCGGUCCAUCCACUCUCCCAUUUGAAGAGGAAGCUGAAUCAGAUGAAAAAGUACCUAAAGUUCCUGCUCCCGCAUCUGACAUUCCAGGCUCGAGUGUGCCUCCUCCUUCCCGAGAGCGUUCCACAUUUACCGAGGAGCAAUAUAAUCUCCUCCAUGGGUAGAUUGAUUCUCUUACUUCAUCGGUCGAUGACAUGGGUAGCCUACUUCUCCAGAUGCAGGCUCAGCAGAUAUCUAUCCAGGACCGAUAGCUCAAGAUGCAGCAGUGACAAGCUAAGAUGCAGGCUCAGCAAACUGCAUUUUUCACUGAGUUUUAUGCUAGAUUUCCUCCUCCGACCCCUUAGCUUACUUUCUUGCGUACUAUUAUUCUCAUGUUAUUUAUUAUCUGUUGCUCUUUUAUAUUUUGGAUGGUUGACUUCUUAAGUGAUAUUUUUAUGCUAUUCGACCUAUUACAUCUUUUUGCUUAUGCCAAAGGGGGAAGAUGAGCAGAUGAUUAUGCAACAUAAGAACAACAUAGUAAGGGGGGAAUGUUAUUAAAUGUUAUUUGCAUGUUGAUAAGGGAAAUGUUAUUAAAUGUUAUAUGCAUGUCGAUAGGAGGAAUAUUACUUGCAAUAUACAAAAUUAUGCUCCUGAUUAUUUGAUGCCAAUUCAAUUUGUUCAAUAUUUAUUUUGCAAAAAUCAUCUCGUUUGUCAUAAUCAGAAAGGGGAAAAUUGUUGACCUAAUGGUUCACUUCUUGUUUUGAUUAUUACAAACAAAUUGCGUUUGAUUCUAACAAAUUGAAUUUAAGUGAUUGAUAGUGAUUAUUGCAAAUUUAUGACACGAAAGAUUUAGAUCGGGAAUCAUGCAACCUUGGCGCAAAACGAUAUACACACAAGAUUUACGAACAAGGAAAUGGAAAACGAGCUUUCAC